GGAGACGUGCCAGAGUGGUUGAAUGGGCCGCACUCGAAAUGCGGUAUGCCCGAAAGGGCAUCGGAGGUUCGAAUCCUCCCGUCUCCG
rnacentral:tRNA from 2 species